UAGGGAAUCUUCGGCAAUGGACGAAAGUCUGACCGAGCAACGCCGCGUGAGUGAAGAAGGUUUUCGGAUCGUAAAACUCUGUUGUUAGAGAAGAACAAGGACGUUAGUAACUGAACGUCCCCUGACGGUAUCUAACCAGAAAGCCACGGCUAACUACGUGCCAGCAGCCGCGGUAAUACGUAGGUGGCAAGCGUUGUCCGGAUUUAUUGGGCGUAAAGCGAGCGCAGGCGGUUUCUUAAGUCUGCUGUGAAAGCCCCCGGCUCAACCGGGGAGGGUCAUUGGAAACUGGGAGACUUGAGUGCAGAAGAGGAGAGUGGAAUUCCAUGUGUAGCGGUGAAAUGCGUAGAUAUAUGGAGGAACACCAGUGGCGAAGGCGGCUCUCUGGUCUGUAACUGACGCUGAGGCGCGAAAGCGUGGGGAGCAAACAGG
rnacentral:rRNA from 1 species